UGGUCUGUCAGCCGCAGUGAAAGUAGCUGCUGGAAUAGUCACCGUUGUUCUCCUGGCUGUCAUAUUCAUCGCUGUGUUCCUGUGCAUUAGAAGAAGGAGAGCUUCCAGGGAGCCGCCUGAGCCUGAGGGGAGAGCAGACAACAGGGCACAGCGUCUGCCUGAUCAGAGACAGCCGGAGCAGCAGGAGGACCUUCAGUACGCCAGCAUCCGUUUCUGCAGCAACCAGCCAGAUCUCCUCUACUCCAACAUCAGAGCAGCUCAGCCCGUCAGACACGUGGAGCAACAGGAAGACGUCGAGUACACUACGGUCAGAACUGCGAGAAAAGCCAGAGGUCAGGAAACUGGAGAGGAUCCAGCUGCACUGUACAGCACAGUCAACAAAACCCGAUGACCACAGCAGGCAUUUAUUUUCUCAGAUUUCUGGGGGGUUUUCUCAGGAUGGGCCACCCUAAAAAUAUGUAAUGAGACAAAUAUUACUGCUAUUAUUAUGCUUGAAAUUAUUGAAUUUAAUGCCGUUUUCUCAUGAUUACAAGUAAAUUAAUUUGUUAUGUCAAGAUAACAAUUAGUUUAUUUUAUGUUGAUUCUCAAACAAAGAAUUUGGCCAAUUUCUCAAGAUAAUGAGAUCAUUUAUCACAAGAAAAUUAAUGUGUUCCCUUAAAAUCAUGGGAUAAAUAUGGAGAACUUAAAAAUGAGAGUGCGAUUCAUCUGAUCACACUUGAUUUAGUCGUAACUGUACGAGGAAAUUCUUAAAAAUAUCAUGGGAUCAUAGUUUGCUUUUCUACCUGCAACUUUCAGCUGGUGCCACUAGAUGUUAAUAGCGAGUUAUAUUUUACAGAUGACAUAUAAUUUCCGUUAACCUAUUAAAUCUAUCUAUCCAUCUAUCUAUCCAUCUAUCUAUCUACCUAUAAUUUUGUAAAUUAUUUCUGCAGAUUCAUAUGAUCAUUACAGUCAUCUACAGCCCUGUAUUCUUUACACAAAUGAUUGGUGUGUUUUUGUUCUGUAUCUUUGUGUUUUCACCACCAUGUAGUUACAUUUUGUAUUUGUACAGUUUUGUUUCACCUUGUUUUAA